GACGAACGCUGGCGGCGUGCUUAACACAUGCAAGUCGAGCGGUAAGGCCCUUUCGGGGGUACGACGAGCGGCGAACGGGUGAGUAACACGUGGGUGACCUGCCCUCAGCUCUGGGAGUAAGCCUGGGAAACCGGGUCUAAUACUGGAUAUGACUCCAUGACGCAUGUUGGUGGGGUGGAAAGCCUUGUGCGGCUGAGGAUGGGCCCGCGGCCUAUCAGCUUGUUGGUGGGGUGAGGCCUACCAAGGCGACGACGGGUAGCCGGCCUGAGAGGGCGACCGGCCACACUGGGACUGAGACACGGCCCAGACUCCUACGGGGAGGCAGCAGUUGGGGGAAUCUUGCGCAAUGGGCGAAAGCCUGACGCAGCGACGCCGCGUGAGGGAUGACGGCC
rnacentral:rRNA from 1 species